UGGGGAAUAUUGCACAAUGGAGGGAACUCUGAUGCAGCGACGCCGCGUGAACGAAGAAGGCUUUCGAGUCGUAAAGUUCUUUCAUAUGGGAAGAUAAUGACGGUACCAUAAGAAAAAGCCCCGGCUAACUACGUGCCAGCAGCCGCGGUAAUACGUAGGGGGCUAGCGUUGUCCGGAAUCACUGGGCGUAAAGGGUUCGCAGGCGGAAAUGCAAGUCAGGUGUAAAAGGCAGUAGCUUAACUACUGUAAGGAUUUGAAACUGCAUAUCUUGAGAAGAGUAGAGGUAAGUGGAAUUUUUAGUGAAGGGGGGAAAUGCGUAGAUAUUAAAAAGAAUACCGGUGGCGAAGGCGACUUACUGGGCUCAUUCUGACGCUGAGGAACGAAAGCGUGGGUAGCAAACAGG
rnacentral:rRNA from 1 species